rnacentral:lncRNA from 1 species
GGAAGAUUCCCUGAUUGGUUCCUGAGAGUAUUGAUGAAAUUGGACAGGAAAGCAGAGGAAAGAUAAAAACCUGCCUUCAGCCAUGAAGCCCCAGACUCCAGCCUGCUUCUUGCCCUCUGGUUGUCUAAGGCCUCCACUUGGGGACCAUUGAGUCGGUGGUUGAUCCUGUGGGAAGCACUGCGUGGUGCCAUGGUAAAUGGCAGGAAGAUUUGCAGGGAACCUCAAAACCAAAGGCCUGCUCAGAGCAGGCGGGAAGCUGGAGUCAAGGAGCCAGAGAUGGGCAGCGCCAAAGGCUGCCACACUGAAAGGCCGGGGCUGACACUGAAAGACAAGGUGGCGCUAAACCAAAUGAACAAAGAUGCAGCUCUGGCCAGGCUCGGUGGCUCACAUCUGUAAUCCCAGCACUUUGGGAGGCCAAGGCGGGCAGAUCACCUGAGGUCAGGAGUUGGAGACCAGCCUGACCAACAUGGUGAAACCCCGUUCUCUACUUAAAAUACCAAAAAUUAACCAGGUGUGGUGGUGAGCGCCUGUAACCUCAUCUACUCCAGAGGCUGAGGUAGGAGAAUUGCUUGAACCCGGGAGGUGGAGGUUGCAGUGAACCAAGAUCGUGCCAUCGCAUUCCAGCCUGGGCAACAAGAGCAAAACUCCGUCUCAAAAAAAAGAAAAAGAAAAAAAGAUGCAACUCAGAAGCACCAAGGAAAGACAUGUUCAAAAGUCCUCAGUGGCUCCCUACCAGCCAUGAACUCCAGUCCAAAUUCUGACUCUGGCCCUACUGUCCUCUCCAGCCUUAUCUCUCACUGUAACUCCUCCUCCACCCACUUACAGCAGCUCCUUGCAGCUCCCUAAAUCCAG